AGUGAACGCUGGCGGUAGGCCUAACACAUGCAAGUCGAACGGCAGCACAGUAAGAGCUUGCUCUUACGGGUGGCGAGUGGCGGACGGGUGAGGAAUACAUCGGAAUCUACUUUUUCGUGGGGGAUAACGUAGGGAAACUUACGCUAAUACCGCAUACGACCUACGGGUGAAAGCAGGGGAUCUUCGGACCUUGCGCGAUUGAAUGAGCCGAUGUCGGAUUAGCUAGUUGGCGGGGUAAAGGCCCACCAAGGCGACGAUCCGUAGCUGGUCUGAGAGGAUGAUGAGGCACGCUGGGACUGCGACACGGCCCAGACUCCUGCGGGAGGCAGCCGUGGGGAAUAUUGGCCAAUGGGUGAAAGACAGAACCAGCAAUGCUGCGUGAGUGAUGAAGGAGUCAGGGUCGUAAAGCUCUUUUACGCGGGAUGAUAAGGACAGUACCGGGAGAAUAAGCUCAGGCUAACUCCGUG
rnacentral:rRNA from 1 species